rnacentral:rRNA from 1 species
ACGGAGGAUGCGAGCGUUAUCCGGAUUUAUUGGGUUUAAAGGGUGCGUAGGUGGUCUUUUAAGUCAGCGGUGAAAGUUUGUGGCUCAACCAUAAAAUUGCCAUUGAAACUGGGAGACUUGAGUAUGUUUGAGGUAGGCGGAAUGCGUGGUGUAGCGGUGAAAUGCAUAGAUAUCACGCAGAACUCCGAUUGCGAAGGCAGCUUGCCAAGCCAUAACUGACACUGAAGCACGAAAGCGUGGGUAUCAAACAG